GCAGCAGCCGCGGUAAUACGUAGGGUGCGAGCGUUAAUCGGAAUUACUGGGCGUAAAGCGUGCGCAGGCGGUUUUGUAAGACAGGCGUGAAAUCCCCGGGCUCAACCUGGGAAUGGCGCUUGUGACUGCAAAGCUAGAGUGCGGCAGAGGGGGAUGGAAUUCCGCGUGUAGCAGUGAAAUGCGUAGAUAUGCGGAGGAACACCGAUGGCGAAGGCAAUCCCCUGGGCCUGCACUGACGCUCAUGCACGAAAGCGUGGGGAGCAAACAAGAUUAGAUACCCCCGUAGUCCCUGUCUCUUAUAC
rnacentral:rRNA from 1 species